CCUUGGGCUGACGCCCAAGGCUCUAUGCUGCCGCUGCUUCGCAGCU
rnacentral:sRNA from 1 species